rnacentral:tRNA from 1 species
AAUAGCUCAGUAGGUAGAGCAAAGGACUGAAAAUUCUUGUGUCGGCAGUUCGAGUCUGCCUU